UUUCCUAGCUUUGUCCACUGAAAAGGCCUAGAAGCAAUGACAACCCAGAACAAUUUCUAAAUAUUAUUCUUCACUAUAAAGAAUCAGAACUCCUUAAAGAAAUGGCUGAAACCAGCUCUGGGGCAGAGAAAGCACAAGUUCUGGAGGCUGGGAAGUCAAGAUCAAGGUCCUGGCCAAUCUGGUUCCUGGGAAAAAAAAUCAGCAACCCCUGCAGAAGAAUGAACAAAGGAUAUGAAGAGAUAAUUUAGAGAAGAAGAAACUCAAAAAGCUACCAAGCAUAUGAAGAAAUGCUCAGAUUCAUUGAUAAUCGGACACAUUUAAUUUGGAACAAAACUGAUAUGUCAUUUUAGUUACUGUAUUAACUGGGAACCUUCAUGCCCUGCUAGUGGGGAAUGUAGCCUGGUGCACCCUUGUGGAAAGCACGUUUGCUCAAAUUAGUCAAACUAAAGGUAACCGUCCUCUAUGUCUGACAGUUUCCCUCCUGGGUAUAUAUCUCAAAUUCUCCCAUGGGCCUAUGCAAGGAAAUAUAUAAGGAUAUUCACUGCAGUGUUAUUUGUGAUCAUUAAUAACUGGAGGCUGUCUGGGUGUCCCUGCCUGGGAGAGGGGGUACUCACCAUGGAAAUCCAUGCAGAAGUUGGUAGCAACAGACUAGUUAUAUAGCUAGCAACAUGGAUGGUUCUUAAAAACAUGUUUUUAAGUAAAAAUCAUAAAAUGAUACUGUACAUUUUAAAAUGGUGAAGACAGUAAAUUUUCUGGGUUUUUUUUUUUUACCACAAUAAAAAAAAAAAUGAAAUGAGAGGUAUUACAAAACAUGAUUUUCCAUCUUUGUUAACUAAAAAUAAGUCAUACUAAAAAGCUGUAUACAUUUUGUAAGAACAAAUACAAAUAAAAAGAUGUACUUUUUAAAAUAAUUAUUUAAAUUAUUUAUCAUCUGUUC